UGGCGGAUACGAUGCGUAUCGAGUGUACGUAAUCCGGGCCCUGUUGUUUAUUUUUCGUUUACUGUGGUUUAACCUCACUUAACUAGAUAGAUCGAGAAAUAUUAAAUUACUAUUACUAUUAUUCAGGUUGAAAAAUGCCUUCCUGUAAGGUAAAAGGUUGCGAAGUCGAUUGGGGAAAAAUAAUGUGAAAAUGAAUUCUUUCCCAAAAGAAUCUGAACGACGGAAAGUGUGGAUUAAAAAUAUAGGGUUAAAACAAGAUCCAAACAAAUAUGCUGUUGUUUGUGAAGAACACUACUUCUGACAUGUGGAAAAAAGUUAGACAAGAUGGCAGCAGAAAAUUAAAAUGCAAUGCUGUACAACAAUAUUUAGAGAAGAAAGCGAAAGUAUUUAAUUAUUUAUAUUGGUUUUUUGUUUAUUCACCAAUUUAACACCUAUAGAUAUUUGUAUAACAAGAGAGCGAAGUGCACCUUUUCCUCCCAAGAAUAAAGUUUACUAGUUUACUACAGUAAUCAUUCAAGGGAGGAAAAGGCACUUCUCCCAUGUUAUACAUUUUUCCACCUCCCUCAAAUAAGUCAUUUUUUCAUUUUUAAAAUAUUUAUAUAACUGUUGAUUGAAUACAUGAAUCAUAAUUGAAUACAGGAAUUUGUGUAUUCAAUCAACAAUAGAAUUAACAAAAUUUAUUAGAGAACUAAAACUAACAAGUAGGUACAGUAUAACUAUCAAAUUAUUAAUGAAAAAUUUUUAAAUCAAAAUAACAAUUUACUGUUUUUACCAUUUUGCAACAUCUAUAAAUAAAAUUUAAAAUGUAUGGAUACUUACCUAAUAGAAAAUAGAGUAAUAGUAUAGGGUGUCAAUAAGUUAUUUCAUCUAUGCUAUGACAUAGUAUGACGUCAACAUCACUUUUACUUUUACUCCCUAGGGAUUAAAAGUACUUUGUUUCCCUAGGGAGAAAAAAAUAUGACUAUGCUCCCUACAAUAAGGCCAGGAAAUGUAUACUUUGGAUAGAGGUAGGUGGGAAAAUCUGUUUUAUUCAGUUAUUGUGAUUUGUUUCUUACAGACAAUCGGUUUGUUCUAGCACGAGUUUCAAACGGUCUGAAACCAUUAGCGAAUAGUGGACCAGCGCGAGUAGAGGGGAUAGCACUCGUAACUGUAUUAUGUUCUCUCACUGACCAACUGUUUGCUGACUAGUUCGACUGUUUGCUAGAACAAACCUAUUAUUCAAACAAAAUGUCCUCUACGUCAGACUGAUCAGAAUUUUAAAAAUGAGUCAUAUCAAUCAAAUCAAAAAAUUUCAAAAAUUGUUCCUGUAACCAUUUUUAGUGGAAAUAAUAACAGUACUUAUAUUGGAUCAGAGAGCCACCCAAUUCAUUGUUAAAGUAUGAUAAACUAAAAGUUAAACAAUUAGGCAUGCACUUCAUAUUAUAUUUAAUGAAAUAUAACCCACUGGUACUCGUACAAACUUGACGGCAAGCAAAUUCAACAAAUUUUUCCUCAUUUAUUAGUUUUUCACUACCGUUAAGUUUGGAAACAAGCGCUGUUGCCAAAUAAAAACAUAUACAGUCAGAAAAAUGAAAGAAUACCCAUGAACGAUCACAUCAAUCACAUAUUUUGUAUUUGCUGUUUUUUUUUUCAUAAAUAAUAAAUGAGAGAGAUAGAUUAUUAAUAAUCUGAAUAAUAUGUGAUUGAUGUGAUCGUUCAUGGGUAUUCUUUCAUUUUUUCGACAGUAUGUAUUUACCACAGCAACUACAGGUGACACUGUUUCUCUUUGUCUUUAAGAGUGUGAAACAAAGAUAACUACAGUGGGAAAAAUAAAGAAUACCCAUGAACGAUCACAUCGAUCACUUAUUUUGUGUUUCCUAUCUUUUUCUAUAACAAACAUUUAUUAUUUAUAGAAAAAGACAACAAACAUAAAUUAAGUGAUUGAUGUGAUCGUUCAUGGGUAUAGGGCUUUUCAUCGAUUGUCAUUUGUUUCGAGCUUCUGUCAUGUGUCACAUAAUAUUAAUAUAUCUACGUCAUACGUCUUUGGUUUGUAUCAUGGGUAUAUACCAAUAACGUAUGACGUAGAUAUAUUAAUAUUAUGUGACACAUGACAGAAGCUCGAAACAAAUGACUGUGAAUGAAAAGCCCUAUUCUUUCAUUUUUCCAACUGUAUCUGUAAUAUACGCUGAGCUCGUAGGUAGAGGGGAUAAUUAAAAAAUCGCGAGAGCCAGUAGUGACAAGUCUGUAAACCUUUACUGGAAAUUUGACAUAAAUGUCAAAGUGAAUAAUUUAAAA